rnacentral:tRNA from 1 species
GUGCCUGUAGCUCAACUGGAUAGAGCGUUGGCCUCCGAAGCCAAAGGUUGUGGGUUCAACUCCCGCCAGGCACACCA